rnacentral:rRNA from 1 species
GACGAACGCUGGCGGCGUGCUUAACACAUGCAAGUCGAACGGAAAGGCCCUGCUUUUGUGGGGUGCUCGAGUGGCGAACGGGUGAGUAACACGUGAGUAACCUGCCCUUGACUUUGGGAUAACUUCAGGAAACUGGGGCUAAUACCGGAUAGGAGCUCCUGCUGCAUGGUGGGGGUUGGAAAGUUUCGGCGGUUGGGGAUGGACUCGCGGCUUAUCAGCUUGUUGGUGGGGUAGUGGCUUACCAAGGCUUUGACGGGUAGCCGGCCUGAGAGGGUGACCGGCCCAAUGGGGAUGAGGAUCCGGCCCAGAUUCUUAGGGGGGGAAGAGGUGGGAAUAUUGCACAAUGGGCGGAAGCCUGAUGCAGCAACGCCGCGUGCGGGAUGACGGCCUUCGGGUUGUAAACCGCUUUCGCCUGUGACGAAGCGUGAGUGACGGUAAUGGGUAAAGAAGCACCGGCUAACUACGUG